rnacentral:rRNA from 1 species
GUGGGGAAUCUUAGACAAUGGGCGCAAGCCUGAUCUAGCCAUGCCGCGUGAGCGAUGAAGGCCUUAGGGUUGUAAAGCUCUUUCAGCUGGGAAGAUAAUGACGGUACCAGCAGAAGAAGCCCCGGCUAACUCCGUGCCAGCAGCCGCGGUAAUACGGAGGGGGCUAGCGUUGUUCGGAAUUACUGGGCGUAAAGCGCACGUAGGCGGAUCAGAAAGUCAGAGGUGAAAUCCCAGGGCGCAACCUUGGAACUGCCUUUGAAACUCCUGAUCUUGAGGUCGAGAGAGGUGAGUGGAAUUCCGAGUGUAGAGGUGAAAUUCGUAGAUAUUCGGAGGAACACCAGUGGCGAAGGCGGCUCACUGGCUCGAUACUGACGCUGAGGUGCGAAAGCGUGGGGAGCAAACAGGAUUAGAAACCCGAGUAGUCC